UAGGAGACUCCAUUCUGCCACUUGGUUUCCUGUGGCCCAUUCAUUUAUUAGAUCAAAUAAGUGAUCUUGAGUGGAUUGAUUGUUAAACAUGUAUCCAAGCUAAUUUAUUGUUGCAGAAUCUACAUAUAGUCCGUAAAUGUCUCUGUACCACUGCUGUUGGAAGGCAGUUAUUUCCUAAUGUAAUCCUUUGUCUGACGCAUUGCCUCAGCCAGACUCUCAUUUUCACAUUCCUCCUGGUGAGAGUCCUACACCAAUCAAGGCCCAUCAAGACCCUCUCCAUCCCUUGAAUUCCCUCUUUGGAAGAUCAGAAUACUGACAUAUUUCUCCAAGACACUUCACAAUGUCAGAAUUUUCAGCCUCAAAAUUCUAUACUCUGAAGUUGAAUAAGGGGCAAAGGCUGGAAGACCUGGCGUAAUUCUUCCAAGUGUUGAUUAUAUGGCCUAGACUUUGCUUUAGAAUGUGGGCCCCAUUAUUCUCAGAUUUGGGAGGUUUAAAAAACCGAGACAGAAAGAAUCCCAUUUGAUAGUCUGUCAUGUUAGAUAGGCAAAACUUAUUCAUUGAACCACCAAGGUUAUGCAAGGAAGUUUGUGAUCAAUACCUACAUGAGGAAUAGCAUGUUGGUAAUAGGUAGUAGUAUUUACUCCCUAUGUGUGUGUGAUCUGGCUUCAGGGAUGCUAGUCAGAAUAAAGGGCAAGAGAUAUACAAAACAGAAACAAGUGCUUCCUUUCAUAAAUAAUUCUUUGUAUAGAUCAGACAGACUGGUAAGUGUUGGAGGCUCUGGGUAUGAGUCAGUAGAGCUCCUUCUCAAGGUCUGUGCUACUUUUUGUCAUGUUAGGACGACAGAACUGGACUCACGACCCCCAACUGAGUUAAACCCUAAGACCUAGUUUUCAAAGACCGGAUGUACAUGCCACCACAUGCUAUAUAUAAUAUGCAAGAUAACCCCCUUCAAUAAUGGAAAUGAAGAAGCUCCGUUGAACAGAGAAGAACACCAGGAACAUGGACAAAAGCUCAGUACGGGUAUAGGUGUGACGAGCAACAAAAGGCUGCAGUGACAUAUUGUGCCAUAAACAAACGUACGAUGUAAACCUGUUCUUAGAGAAUUGAGCACAUUAGGAGGUUAAAUUCUUCCUGGAACAUGAAGACUCUCCUAAACAGUAGAGAACUACUCAUUCUCUUUUCUAAAACUUCAAUACACCAUCCUCUCAACUGCAUUCAACAUUGAAUUGUCAUAAAUAAACAUCAUUCAUGGAAGCAUA